GCCAGCUCGCUCCACUCCCGUCGGUUUCACGGAAGGCUGUCUAGAUGGCAUUGUAAACGGUUCGCACCUGCGGGGCCACAAAGAGGUGCAGCUGCGGAAAUCAACUCAGAGAUACAUUUUAGGGUCAGGCCAAGGAUUGAGAGCGUCGUAGGUGAGAGACACAGACUGAGGGAAUCAGAAGCACCACUGUCCACCAGGAAUUAAAUCGGUUUCCCAGCGUCUUCUGUAAAUAUUUCACCAACUAUUUCCUCUCGGACCGAUCGCUCCCCUUGUGCUCCUUCCUCUGGUGAGGCCAAAAUUCUCCUCCCAGGACUUAGCAGACAGACAGGACUUGGGUUUCAAGGAGCCCGCCACAGCCGGCCCGCUCUUGCAGCUCGCUGUGUGGCGGCCUAAAACUUCGGAAGGAGAGGUGGCGCAUCGCGGACUCAGCAGGUCAGGAGCACUACCCCGAGGUGCGAGGUCCAAGCGCACGCGCUGGCAAUGCCACGCACCGGUGGUGGUUUUGCGAGCCUCCACCCUCAACCCCAGUUAAAUCCCCACAGCCUUUCCUACCAUCGAUUUUCCUUGCCAAGGAAACUCGGCGUGUACCAGCCGCAUCCUCGCCUCCUCCACCCGCUCUGCUACCGGUUUCCGCGGGAAGUCAAAUCUUGGAGGAUUUACCUAAGCCUUAAGAGGAAAGAAUCCACGUGAGUUAGCAGCAACUGAGAGCCUAGCCCACCCGCAUGCUCGAGGCCGCCCCCCAUUCCCAAGAGGCUGGGCCCGCCGCCCGGUAAAGUCACACCGCCAGCUCCCGGCGUCCUAGUCCGAGCCCGGCGCCCAAACUGGAGGCCCGGAAUCCUCUACUUCGCUCCACUCGACUUACCCAGGCCGCUGCCAGUCCCGGCUCCUUCCCCAGCUCCUCAUUUCCGACUUUUUCACUUGCUAAGUCGUUUAACAACUCCCAGCUGCUAGUUACAGCCUCUUUAUUUAUA